CACGUAGUUAGCCGUGGCUUUCUGAUGAGGUACCGUCAAGAUACCGCCCUAUUCGAACGGUACGUGUUCUUCCCUCAUAACAGAGCUUUACGAGCCGAAACCCUUCUUCACUCACGCGGCGUUGCUCCGUCAGACUUUCGUCCAUUGCGGAAGAUUCCCUACUGCUGCCUCCCGUAGGAGUCUGGGCCGUGUCUCAGUCCCAGUGUGGCCGAUCACCCUCUCAGGUCGGCUACGCAUCGUCGCCUUGGGGAGCCAUUACCUCUCCAACUAGCUAAUGCGCCGCGGGCCCAUCUUAACGUGAGAGCCAGAGGCCCUCUUUUAAUCUUGCACCAGGAGGUGCUAGAUGUUAUCCGGUAUUAGCCCCGGUUUCCCGGAGUUAUCCCAGUCGUUAAGGCAGGUUGCCCACGUGUUACUCACCCGUCCGCCGCUAACGUUGUUGGAGCAAGCUCCAACAACGUCCGCUCGACUUGCAUGUAUUAGGCACGCCGCCAGCGUCGUCCUGUGCCAGGACGUCAAA
rnacentral:rRNA from 1 species